UACAGGGGGGGCAAGCGUUAAUCGGAAUUACUGGGCGUAAAGCGUGCGCAGGCGGUUGUGCAAGACAGGUGUGAAAUCCCCAGGCUCAACCUGGGAACUGCGUCUGAUACUGAUUGGCUUGAAUCCGGGAGAGGGAUGCAGAAUUCCAGGUGUAGCGGUGAAAUGCGUAGAUAUCGGGAGGAACACCAGUGGCGAAGGCGACUACCUGGCCUGUUUCUUGACGCUGAGGCGCGAAAGCUAGGGGAGCAAACGGG
rnacentral:rRNA from 1 species